UGGGAAGAGAAGAGUAUGGAGAAGGAAAGGAACUGCUCAUGAUCCAAAGCAUACCACCUCAUCAGUGAAGCAUAGUGGUGGUAGUGUCAUGGCGUGGGCAUGUAUGGCUGGCAAUGUAACUUGUUCUCUUGUAUUUAUUGAUGAUUUGACUGCUGACAAAAGCAGCAGGAUGAAUUCUGCAGUGUUUCGGGCAAUAUUAUCUGCUCAUAUUCAGCCAAAUGCUUCAGAACUCAUUGGACGGCGCUUCACAGUGCAGAUGGACAAUGACCCGAAGCAUAUUGCAAAAGCAACCAAAGAGUUUUUUUAAGGGAAAGAAGUGGAAUGUUAUGCAAUGGCCAAGUCAAUCACCUUACCUGAAUCAGAUUGAUCAUGCAUUUCACUUGAUGAAGACAAAACUGAAGGGAAAAUGCCCCAAGAACAAGCAGGAAUUGAAGACAGUUUCAGUAGAGGCCUGGCAGAGCAUCACCAGGGAUGAAACCCAGCGUCUGGUGAUGUCUAUGCGUUCCAGACUUCAGGCUGUAAUUGACUGCAAAGGAUCUG